AAAAAAAGAAGAAAAGAAACGGAAAUCAGAUUUAAAAAGCUGGAAAGUAAUAUCCCUGUGCAUUGCCAAAUUCCUUUAAUUUUAAAUGAAUCAAGGUUUCCAAUUUUAGAUUGUGCAUGCAUAUUAUUCCUUUAAUAAUUUCUGCCAUUUAGUAUAGAAGAUUUUUUAUAGUACAAUAAUAGUCCAUGUUAGGUUAGGUUUUGUUGUCUUUUGCAAAAAUUGUUGUUAGCUGCUUUUUUUGCUUCUUUUUUUGCAUCUUUGUCAUUUUAAUAGAGACAUAAGAACAAGAUAUUUGUGGAUGAAAUUAAACAACAUCAGCUAAUAGUUCUACAUUUAGAUUUCAUUUGACACCAAUAUCACAGAUUCUUAGUAACAAUGGCUUAUUCUGGUAAAACCAGAUUGUAUGGUUUGUUAUACUCGUAACACCAUACAAAAUAAGCUUAGGAAAUUAUGUAGUGCUAAAAUAGGAGGGAGAGUAUUUACAACAUGUAUGUGUUUGAAACUUUCACAGUAUUAGACAUAAAAGCAUUAACAAAGGCAUGACUGAUGAUCAGUUUGGAUAUCUUUAUGAUGGUGGUUAUAUGCAGUUUUUGAGUGAUUCAGUUCAACAUUAUAAGUGUCCCCGUCACACCAACUGGUGUCUUUUAUAUCACAAUGACCAAUAACACAUGCAGUAUUGUUUGUAAAAUAGUCGCAUAUCACAAUGGCCAAUAACACACUGUAUUGUGAGUAAAAUAGUCGCCUUUUCAUACCAAUAGGUCACUGGGAACUCCAAAGAUGAGCUUCUUUUGACCUGUUCAAUUAUGGAGUUACCAGACUUUAUUUUUAUGUUUAAAUUUUAAAACUAUUUAUUGAUUGUUGUAAAUAUUUUUAUAUACAUUAAAAUGCAGCCAUUCAAUAAUUACAUAACACUCCUAGGGGAAGAGGAUAUUAUGAGAUGCAGUAUAAGGAAGGGUAAGGGGUGUUUGUUAAGAGGUAUGUAAUAUUUUCAAAACAGUGUCUUAUUUUAUUAAAGUUGAUGCAGCCAGUGAUGGUAAAUUUAUUUCAUUAAUUUACAUAUGAAUUUUUUUUAUCUUGUAUUUAAUAAAACAAAAAUCUAAACGGAAAAUCCAAUAAUAUUGGUCAGCUUGACAGGAAAGGAGAGAUGGAGGUGUGAGUAUUAUAUAAUUUUGAGGAGCUGCUUUUAACAUUAGAAAAUGUUUAUGAUGGAGGGGUACAAAAACCAAUGCCAGUCUUUGUGUUGAUCAGUUGUGGAAUGUCAUCCAUAUAUUUACAGCAUUUUGUGUAAUAAAUUGUGCAAAACUUA